rnacentral:rRNA from 1 species
CUACGGGCGGCACCAGUGGGGAAUAUUGGACAAUGGGGGAAACCCUGAUCCAGCAAUGCCGCGUGUGUGAAGAAGGCCUGCGGGUUGUAAAGCACUUUCGGUUGGGAGGACUGCUUCUAGCACUAAUAUUGUUGGAAGUUGACGUUACCUUCAGAAGAAGCACCGGAUAACUCCGUGCCAGCAGCCGCGGUAAUACGGAGGGUGCAAGCGUGAAUGGGAAUUACUGGGCGUAAAGCGCGCGUAGGCGGCUAGAUCAGUCGGGUGUGAAAGCCCCGGGCUUAAACUGGGAACUGCAUCCGAUACUGUCUAGCUUGAGUACAGGAGAGGAGAGUGGAAUUCCACAUGUAGCGGUGAAAUGCGUAGAUAUGUGGAGGAACACCAAUGGCGAAGGCAGCUCUCUGGCCUGAUACUGACGCUGAGGUGCGAAAGCGUGGGGAGCAAACAGGAUUAGAUACCCUUGUAGUC